CGCCCGCAAGGGGAGCGGCAGACGGGUGAGUAACGCGUGGGAAUCUACCUUUUGCUACGGAAUAACUCAGGGAAACUUGUGCUAAUACCGUAUGUGCCCUUCGGGGGAAAGAUUUAUCGGCAAAGGAUGAGCCCGCGUUGGAUUAGCUAGUUGGUGGGGUAAAGGCCCACCAAGGCGACGAUCCAUAGCUGGUCUGAGAGGAUGAUCAGCCACACUGGGACUGAGACACGGCCCAG
rnacentral:rRNA from 1 species